GCAGUGAGGAAGUACACUGCCACAGCUGUUGCUCUGUCCUAAUGGUAAAUGUCCUUUAGAUGUAAUGCUUCGUCCAAGAGUAGAACUAUUGAAGUGUGGUGACACAGUUGGAGUUGUUUUCUUGCGAGGCAAAGUAUCACUCAUGUACAUGCAUUCCCUGUGCUGUUUCUUUCGCUCUUCCAGAUUUCUGAAAUGCUCUUUAUUUUGUGGCUGGCUCGUCAGCACAGCCGUGGAAGGCUCAGUGGUACCUGCGUCAGCAUCUGUGGGGGGCUGAGUGGAAGGGGAUAUAUUCGUGGAAUUGCCAUACAGCUCACUAAUUUCACUUACACUGAUAUAGCCCUCUUUUAGACUAUUGGGACUGACAGGAAAUCCCUUUCCUCCAGAGAGUGAGGAAUAUUUCUUCUCCAGAUUACAGAGAUUCUCUUUUUCCCUCUGCAGCAUCAUUA
rnacentral:lncRNA from 1 species